AUGUUUAUUCAAGUAAUGAUAAACCUGUUAGUUUAUUGAAUUUCGAACAUUUUGAGCAAAUACGAAGUCUUGGACGUCAGAACGUUAGACUUUUCUUGAGCAACUGAGUUUGCUGGACUUCUUACUUCAAUGUUAACGCUAAUAUUUUGAGGUGCCAGUUCUGAUCAACAGACAUUUUGCAGUCGCUCCGCUGAUCUUCUCCGCGCCUUUUCCAUCACCAUUCAAAUGGUUACUACUCAUCCAUAAACACAGGCUUCAACGCAAAGAAUGAAUGCUUUUGAGGCCACUCGAUCUACGUCCCUGUGAGGGUCGAAGACUGAAGCUUUCUGUGCUUCUUUCAAAUUAUUAACGUCACCCAUCCUUCAAGGGUUCCUGGACAAAUAAGUCAAGCAAAAUUCACCAUGACAUCUUUUCUAAGAAUAUUUUUCGCUGAAGUUCAGAAAACUCAGACCCGAUGUGGCAGCGUGUUGUUCCUAGUCUCUCUCCUCUUCUGGACUGUGAUGCUCGCGUAUCUCACCGGCUACGUCUUCAACAUCGACGACGACAACUUCGACUGCCGAUCAAAAGCCGACGUCUACUCGCGCGAUUCUCGGAAGAAUGCCGAAUGCUACCGGGAAUACUCCGAAGAAUACAACUACCCCAUAACCCUGAGCACGUUUGCGAUCAUCAAUGGAUUGGUGCUUUUGAUCACUUGGGGCCUUUAUUUGGUGUGUGCGUUUGGCAAGCUCCCACAUGAUAGCCAUGAAGAUGAGAACCCACGCCGUCCAGACCCUACACUAUUUAGGCCCUGUGUGCUACAGUUGACCUUUAGGACACUGUACUUAGUGGUGAUGAUGGGAGCUCUCCUGGGUCUCUUUCCUUUUGAAUUCCCUGGGACCUUUAAUUGCUCGUUAAAUGGAACUGAUUAUAAAUGCUCGGACGAGUUUGGAGACGAGAAGAGUAAUUCUAGGAAGGUUAUCUUGGUUUACGAUGGUUUGUUUGGAUUGUUUGCCUUCUGGGAACUCUUUUAUGUCCUGUGUCAUUGACUUCAAACGAUAAAUUAUUCUUGGAAAUUCA